rnacentral:misc_RNA from 1 species
CAAGAACCCAUUUUCAGCUUCCCCUGACAAUACCCUUUUGACCCUUUUGCAGCAGAGAAAGACUGAUGAAGCUUGGUUGCACUACACCAAGAAUCUUGAUCAACAACUCCCAAACCCCACUUGUCUUAGUCGUUUAGUUUCUCAAUUAUCUUACCAAAACUCCACUAUCAGCCUCCGUCGUGCUCAGUCAAUCAUCCAACGCCUCCGCCAUGAACGGCAGCUUCACCGCCUCGACGCGAAUUCACUUGGACUUCUUGCUAGUGCUGCAGCUAAAGGUGGACAUGUUCUUUAUGCUGCUUCUAUUAUUAAGUCAAUGUUGAAAUCUGGUUAUUUACCUCAUGUUAAAGCUUGGAGUUCUGUUGUUAGUCGUCUUGCGUCCUCUGGUGAUGAUGGUCCAAUUG